AUACACAGAAGUCCCAAGGUCAAGAAGCUCUCUCUGGACUGCAUUCUUUGUGGAGUGGAGACCGGCUCCCUAAACAGAAAGGAGGAGUUAAUGGAUGUUGGGUGCCAAUGGAGAGCCUGCUGCAGAAGCUCUGGGAUGACGCCUCUGAAAAAAAAUGGCAUUUAAACUUAAGAUGAGUGAGGGUCAGCAAGGAGCAAGGAGGAUGUACCUUCAGGCAGAGAGAGCCACGUGUGUGGCCUGUCUGUGCCCCGGGUUACAAGAUGUUCGUGCCAUUUCUCAUUUACUGCAUUGACCCCAAAAGGGAUCAGCGGAGAGGGAUGUGGCACGCGAGAAGCCACUGUCCCCUGGGAAAGAAGGGAGAAUGGUGCUCUCAACGCUGGGCCUGAAGGAUUGUGUGAGACACAGCGGUCUCAGCAGUCCCGCCUGCCGUCCCCAUGGUUGUAAAGCCCAGGUGAACUCUGUCAGCAACCUCAGCCUCCUCUGGAGGGAGGACCAGCGCACACGGCCUCCGUGACACCCACUGUAGAGGGAGCUUCAGUGGUUGCAGCUCCCAGGUCCGACCUGACUGGACCCACAGAGCUCUGGCUUCCCUCGCUGCUUCCUGGGGGGCCUGAAACACAUCCUAGAGAGACAGUGGCGCUAAUGUCCUGUGGAAGUGCCUCUGACCAUUGAGAGCCAGGAGCCAGGAGCCAGGAAGAAGCCAGCAGAUGAUUGCUCUCCCUUCCUGCCCACCCAGGAGCUGUUCCGAGAUCCAAGGAUAACAGGCCUUAAUUAAGAAGUAGCGCGUGAGCUUGGCCUCAGGCUGCUUUCUGGAGAACCCAGGCGACGGUGAGACCUUCUGACCCUUUACCUUCCAUCCUUCAGUCUGCUGCGCGCUGUUACUUCGCUUCAGGUUCCUGGGGAAGCAGUGCGGCCUCAGCGAGGGAGGAGUUUCAGGAGGGUGAGGUUAUCUUUCGGGAACUCCAAUGGCAGGGAUCACGCGAUCACCUCAAACUCAGGUGUCGUGCUUUCCGGUCGAUGCCUGUGCCAAAAGUUCGUUCUUCAAGACGAGUUCUUGUCCAAGUUACAUGGCCUAUUUUCUAAAAAAUCAAAUCAAGCACACUUCACAGCACCCUCACGGGUAGAACGCGUGGCUUAUUUAUUUUUAUGUGGUAUGUUCAUCUCUCAAUACCUGUGUUUUCACCAGAGUAAACUCAGUCUUGUGAAGUUAAAUUUCAUGCAUGUCAUAAAUGUUUCCCCAUCUGAGCAAAUAUUGAAAUGAGCAAUUCUGCUCUUUGACAGAGAGUGUUAAAUGUGUUUGGUCAUCAAAUUCGACUUAGUAUUCCCCAAGGUAUCCUAAUGUUUCUGGCAGUAUCUCAAAGCUCUCACGAAUCUCCCAGCCAACUAUUGCUUUGAAGGGCAGUUUCUUCACUUAGCAGGAAGUUUUUCUAGUUAAUUCACCUUACUUAGAGUUCCAUAGUUCCCUCUUUUAAUAUUUCCUACAUGUUUAAGCACAGCUAAAAAAGUGACUAAGAAACGUUUUAAAAGUUGUACUUGGUUAAGAAGCCUUGCAACUCUCAUGCUGGGGAACUGAUAAUUUGUGAUUCUAAUUUUAACUGGAUUAAUCUCAUUCAGAGUCUUUCUAUGCAUAUUACACAUCUUAGUGCCCAACUUCAUGAGGGAUUUAGCAACUGCUAUAUGUGGAAAAUGCUGAGAAUUGAGAUGCUUUUGCUGUUGAAGAAACAUUGCUCAUGUUCCAAAAUGCAGUUGAAACCCAAGUCAAUGUUAUAUGCAAUUUCAUUUUUAUUUUGAAAAUAUUGUUGCAGAAACAUAGUUUCUUUGGGAUUCUUUACCCCAAAUCACGGACACUGCUACUCUCAAAAGCAGUACGGUUUCUCGCUCUGCUGAGGGCCAGUCACGGUUCAGCUUCGGAGUGUCACCACGUUCCCCUUGGGGCUGUCUGGGGACACGGCUGGUUUGCCUCCCCUUGCUGGUUACACCACUUUCCUUUCUGCAUUGGUUUUCACUGGGCGCCUGCCAUUUCUGAUGUUCCAGGAAGUCUGCUGCUUCUACCUGACUCUAAUUCAAUUUGUUAAUAUACAACAUUGAUCUGGUUUAUGGACACAGAGAGCAUCCUGUGUAAUUUCAUCUAUGUUUGCCAAAAAGUGACUGUACCAGAUAAGAGCCUUACCAUCAACCUCAGGCUGCCCAGAAAUCCUUUUGUGCUCUGCCCUUUCAUUUUAAUAGUCUGUAGCUGGGGAAUGUUGGUUGGGCAUAUAAUCAUCACUUCUGUGGCGGGGGCCCUGUUUCUGUCUUUCAUCUCUGGUAGUGUAAUAGCCACUCUACUUCUUUUUUUUUUUUUUAGGGCCGCACUGCAGCAUAUGGAAGUUCCCAGGCUAGGAAUUGAAUCAAAACUGUGGCCACCAGUCUAUGCCACAGCCACAGCUACAGCCACGUGGGAUCCAAGCCCCGCCUGCGACCUACACCACAGCUCAUGGCAAUGCCAGAUCCUUCACCCCCUGAGCGAGGCCGGGGAUCAAAGCCACAUCCUCAUGGAUGCUGGUUGGGUUUGUUACCGCUACGCCGAAAUAGGAACUCCACUCUGCCAUUUUUUAUCUUUUUAAAAUUUGCUUUCCAUCUUUGCAUAUUUGAAGACAUUUUGCUUUGCUUUCUUCUUUCCUCUGGAAGUGCUCCAGCUCCUUCAGGGGUCUCUUCCAUAAUCUAAUUUCCUUGGCUUUGCCAGAACCAACAGGGAAUAUUUCCUGGUGUCCGCCCUGAGCAGAAGGUCUAUGUGCCAGACUGUAUUGAACAAGUUUUUUCCCCCAGAACUCUUUAGGUUGAGGAGACAUUGGUGUCCAUAAUUUUGCAAAAAUUGCCACAGGAAUCCCCCUUUUCAAGACAUCUCGCCUCCUCUCCUGUUCAGAAACUGCUUCUUUCCCACUCAACACAUUUUCCAGAGAUUGGAGAGAACCGUUUCUCUGUCCAUAUCAGCUUUUGUCUAAAGAUGAACAAACAAAACAUGUACCAGUAACAGAGCCAGAACUGGACCUUUGCCUUCGUCUGAUUUGCUGUUUGAAACAUGGCUUUAUGACUCCGCCAUCACCAGGACUUUAGCGGCCAGAAUUAGAAAUGAAGCCAAACAAAUUACUUUGACAGUUUUAAUGAUAAGUGCAACUCAUGUCAGCUAAGCUAGUCAGUGUUUGUGAUGGUCGGAAUAAUCUUUUUUUUCAUUGAAGUAUAGUUGAUUUACAAUGUCGUGUUGAUUUCAGGUGUACAGAACAGUGAUUCAGUUAUACAUACUUUUUCAGAUUCUUUUUCCUUAUAGGUCAUUACACAAUAUUGAGUAUAGUGUCCUGUGUUAUACGGUAGAUCCUGUUGGUUAUCUAUUUUAUGUAUAAUAAUGUGUAUAUGUUAACUCUGACCUCCUAAUUAUCUUCCUCCCCACCUUUGGGGACCAUAAAUUUGUUAUCUAUGUCUGUGGAUCUGUUUCCAUUUAGUAAAUAAGUUCAUUUGUAUCUUUUUUUUUUAAGAUUCCACAUAUAAGUGAUAUCAUAUGAUAUUUGUCUUUGUUUGGCUUACUUCACCUAGUAUGAUAAUCUCUAGGUCCAUCCAUGUUGCUGCAAAUAGCAUUAUCUUGUUCUUUUUUAUGGCUGAGUAGUAUGCCAUUGUGUAUAUGUACCACAUCUCCUUAAUCCAUUCAUCUGUCAAGGGACAUUUGGGUUGUUUCCUUAUUCUUAAAAGUCAGACUCAAGAUCACAAAGUUGCCAAGUAAGUGAACCAGAACUGGAAUCCAGAUCGUCUGAGUAAAGGCAUCUAUGACAGUUUGUCAUGUCCCUCUACUUUCUUCUGAAUGUUCUCAGGAGAAAUUUUUAAAGUUAUGUAGACCAGGAGUUAUAUAUGCCUCUACCAUACAUGUUUCAUGGGUCAAAGUGAAGCAAAGAAAGAAUGUCUUUCCUGAAAGCAAGUAGAUGGCUUCACAGUAGAGCAACGGAGAGAGAAACACCAUGACAUGCUUCAUUUUUUGCAAGUAUCUUUCUUUUGCUGUUCUCAAGUAGGUAAGAAUCAGGUGACAAAUUCGUUUAAACAGUUCCCACUGAGAUUUGUGAACCAAAAAAGGCAGACAGGAAAAUAAACUGGACAGACAAUC
rnacentral:lncRNA from 1 species